rnacentral:rRNA from 1 species
AUUGAACGCUGGCGGCAUGCCUAACACAUGCAAGUCGAGCGAGCGGCGGACGGGUGAGUAAUGUAUGGGGACUGCCCGUUCGAGGGGGAUAACUACUUGAAACCGUAGCUAAUUACGCAUACUAUCGGAUAACCCAUCUGGGCUUAGCUAGUAGGUGAGGUAAUGGCUUACCUAGGCGACGAUCCCUAGCUGGUCUGAGCGGAUGAUCGGGCAAACGGGGACUGAGAGACGGCCAAGACGCCUAGGGACGCAGGAGUGGGGAAGAGUGCACAAUUGGCGCAAGCCUGAUGCAGCCAUGCAGCGUGUAUGAAGAAGGCCCUAGGGUUGUAAAGUACUAUCAGUCUGGAGGGGUUACCGACAGAAGAAGCACCGGCUAACUCCGUGCCAGCAGCCGCGGUAAUUC